rnacentral:rRNA from 1 species
ACCUUACCUGGUCUUGACAUCCACGGAAGUUUUCAGAGAUGAGAAUGUGCCUUCGGGAACCGUGAGACAGGUGCUGCAUGGCUGUCGUCAGCUCGUGUUGUGAAAUGUUGGGUUAAGUCCCGCAACGAGCGCAACCCUUAUCCUUUGUUGCCAGCGGUCCGGCCGGGAACUCAAAGGAGACUGCCAGUGAUAAACUGGAGGAAGGUGGGGAUGACGUCAAGUCAUCAUGGCCCUUACGACCAGGGCUACACACGUGCUACAAUGGCGCAUACAAAGAGAAGCGACCUCGCGAGAGCAAGCGAACCUCAUAAAGUGCGUCGUAGUCCGGAUUGGAGUCUGCAACUCGACUCCAUGAAGUCGGAAUCGCUAGUAAUCGUGGAUCAGAAUGCCACGGUGAAUACGUUCCCGGGCCUUGUACACACCGCCCGUCACACCAUGGGAGUGGGUUGCAAAAGAAGUAGGUAGCUUAACCUUCGGGAGGGCGCUUACCACUUUGUGAUUCAUGACUGGGGUGAAGUCGUAACAAGGUAACCGUAGGGGAACCUGCGGUUGGAUCACCUCCUUACCUUAAAGAA